CGGAAUACCAUCGGUCCGACAUCCUACAUCCUACCUUACCCACACUACGAGUUUAAAGGAGGUAAUUUCGAACCCUACCCGUCCGCGGAGACUUUCAAAAGAUGCACGCCCCUCGUCGUGAAAAGCGAGCACUCGAAUGUAAACAGACUCGACCGAAAGACUUAUUCUCGGCUAUCAAGUCUGCAAACGACAGAAUAAUACCUCAAUAGACAAGCCACGAGGGUGUAUGGGUUUCACUGAGAACGGUCGGCGAACGAGGAGAGAUAUACCACGAUAAAACAUUCUCAGCAGCAGCCCAGCUAUACUUUGAGACGCAUUACUAACACGCAGGUUGUCUGAAGGAGGACUGAGCUUCAAAAUGUAGGACAUUAUCCCACCGCCCUAUCUUCGCAUUCUGGACACGGCGCCUGAUAAUGCCUCCCAGCCGUCCACCAGUAGCAUUUAUACAUUUAAUAAAACA